GAUGAAGAACGCAGCGAAAUGCGAUAAGUAAUGUGAAUUGCAGAAUUCAGUGAAUCAUCGAAUCUUUGAAUGCACAUUGCGCCCCCUGGUAUUCCGGGGGGCAUGCCUGUCCGAGCGUCAUUACAACCCUCAAGCUCAGCUUGGUGUUGGGCCCCGCCGCCCCGGCGGGCCCUAAAGUCAGUGGCGGUGCCGUCCGGCUCCGAGCGUAGUAAUUCUUCUCGCUCUGGAGGUCCGGUCGUGUGCUCGCCAGCAACCCCCAAUUUUUUUCAGGUUGACCUCGGAUCAGGUAGGGAUACCCGCUGAACUUAAGCAUAUCAAUAAGCGGAGGA
rnacentral:misc_RNA from 1 species